GUACCACUGUACUGCCCUUCGCAUAGUACAUAAAUCCAUAAAACAACACAGUCCUUAAACUACACUACCACUCAUAACAAUUCAUUAAAUAGUAAUUUACAAAAACAAAAACAAAAAAAACAAAACACAGCAGCAGCAACUAAUCCAUUUAUCUAAUCAGGUCUCCAACACUCCCACCCAAAAAAUUGUGGUGGGGUGUGUAUUUACCAACAAUCUAAAAUGGUAAAGAUGCACCUCAGAAUGGAGAGAGCUAACACAGGUGAGGAGACACCUCUGAAAAGGCCACCACGCCAUGUGAUACAUGAUGUGUAGAGACCAUGUAGGGGUUUAAACAUGGUUUCAAAUCCAUACAAUGGAAAUUAUAUGAGCUUUAGAGAGCCUGUCCCACCCACUGUUUGUUUGCCAAUGGGAAAUUUCCUCCAAAAGCAAAUGCCAGCUUCUGAAAAAGGGUUUUCAUUGGGGCUGCAAGGAGUGAAAGGGUUACAUUCCUGCUCUGUGCCUGCCUUGAUCCUAUUAUCAGCUCCCCACCCUCCACAACCUGAUACAAUUUGUAAUUCAGAAAACCAGCACAUUAUAUGCAGAGUCGCAUUUAACAUCACAAGUAGUUGGGCCCUUAGAAACUGUAUACUGAUGGUACAGAGAGAAAGGUUUAACAGCACUAAGCUGUUAGUAUGUAUGAAACUGGUCUCGCUCUCCAGCAAACAGACAGUGAAACACGAUAUAAGUUGUUUCUUUUCUUAGACCAUACAUAGCAAAUGUGAGUAC